GACGAACGCUGGCGGCGUGCCUAACACAUGCAAGUCGAGCGAGUUGAUUUCCUUCGGGAAUGGAUUUAGCGGCGGACGGGUGAGUAACACGUGGGCAACCUGCCUCAUAGAGGGGAAUAGCCUUCCGAAAGGGAGAUUAAUACCGCAUAAGAUUGUAGUACCGCAUGAUACAGCAAUUAAAGGAGGAAGCCGCGAUGCGAGGGGCCCGCGGCGCAUUAGCUAGUUAGUGAGGUAACGGCUCACCAAGGCGACGAUGCAUAGCCGGCCUGAGAGGGUGAUCGGCCACAUUGGGACUGAGACACGGCCCAGACUCCUACGGGAGGCAGCAGUGGGGAAUAUUGCACAAUGGGGGAAACCCUGAUGCAGCAACGCCGCGUGAGUGAUGACGGCCUUCGGGUUGUAAAGCUCUGUCUUCAGGGACGAUAAUGACGGUACCUGAGGAGGAAGCCACGGCUAACUACGUGCCAGCCGCCGCGGUAA
rnacentral:rRNA from 1 species